rnacentral:rRNA from 1 species
CAGCCGCCGCGGGAAUACAGAGGGUGCUAGCGUUAAUCGGAUUUACUGGGCGUAAAGCGUGCGUAGGCGGCUUUUUAAGUCGGAUGUGAAAUCCCUGAGCUUAACUUAGGAAUUGCAUUCGAUACUGGGAAGCUAGAGUAUGGGAGAGGAUGGUAGAAUUCCAGGUGUAGCGGUGAAAUGCGUAGAGAUCUGGAGGAAUACCGAUGGCGAAGGCAGCCAUCUGGCCUAAUACUGACGCUGAGGUACGAAAGCAUGGGGAGCAAACAGGAUUAGAUACCCGCGUAGUCCCUGUCUCUUAUAC